rnacentral:lncRNA from 1 species
UUCCUAGACACCAAUUAGAUCAAUUAAUCUAAUAUGACUUGCGCAUGUUGGUUCACUCUUGACUUGAUUGAGGAGGUUUUAAUUAAGGUCUCAAUUGGGUUUGCUACAUCACAUGUAAACCUAUCUACCCGACUCUCAUUCACAUCACAUGCAAACGGCACAUUGCAGGCAGUUAUAAUCGCAGCAAUAAUUAAAGCUAAACUUUAAAUGGGUGAUGAUCAUGGAUUCUAAUUAGGUCGUAUUACAAGCACAUGCACGUCAAUCGAUCAAUUGGUCUUCAACUCUUGAAUUGGUUCCAAGCCUCCUUGAUUCGAUCCUUGACCAACUCUUGAUCCAAUCGCCAUCAACCGCUUAGACCCCUGUUCAUCUCAUGCCUUGUCUUCAACUUGAUCGUUGACGUGC